AGAGUUUGAUCAUGGCUCAGAAUCAACGCUGGCGGCGCGCCUAACACAUGCAAGUCGAACGAGAAAGUGGAGCAAUCCAUGAGUACAGUGGCGUACGGGUGAGUAACACGUGGGUAAUCUACCUCUUAGUGAGGAAUAACCCUGGGAAACCGGGGCUAAUACCGCAUAAGCCUGAGAAGGGAAAGCAGCAAUGCGCUGAGAGAGGAGCCCGCGGCCGAUUAGCUAGUUGGUGGGGUAAGAGCCCACCAAGGCAGAGAUCGGUAGCCGGCCUGAGAGGGCACACGGCCACACUGGCACUGAAACACGGGCCAGACUCCUACGGGAGGCAGCAGUGGGGAAUCUUGCACAAUGGGGGAAACCCUGAUGCAGCGACGCCGCGUGAGCGAUGAAGCCCUUCGGGGUGUAAAGCUCUUUCGUCAGGGAAGAUAGUGACGGUACCUGGAGAAGCAGCUGCGGCUAACUACGUGCCAGCAGCCGCGGUAAUACGUAGGCAGCAAGCGUUGUUCGGAGUUACUGGGCGUAAAGGGUGUGUAGGCGGUUCUUUAAGUUUGGUGUGAAAUCUCCCGGCUUAACCGGGAGGGUGCGCCGAAUACUGAGGGACUAGAGUACGGGAGAGGAAAGUGGAAUUCCUGGUGUAGCGGUGAAAUGCGUAGAUAUCAGGAGGAACACCGGUGGUGUAGACGGCUUUCUGGACCGUAACUGACGCUGAGACACGAAAGCGUGGGUAGCAAACAGGAUUAGAUACCCUAGUAGUCC
rnacentral:rRNA from 1 species